AGGAGGAGCAGCCCCAGUGGCGGGGCCAGGUCUGGAAACCUGGAUUCAGCUCCGGCAGGAACUCCGUCUGCAGGGCCUGGAGGCUCUGGGGCGGG
rnacentral:pre_miRNA from 1 species